UGGGGAAUAUUGCACAAUGGGCGCAAGCCUGAUGCAGCCAUGCCGCGUGUGUGAAGAAGGCCUUCGGGUUGUAAAGUACUUUCAGUCGGGAGGAAGGUGGUAAGGUUAAUAACCUUGGCAAUUGACGUUACCGACAGAAGAAGCACCGGCUAACUCCGUGCCAGCAGCCGCGGUAAUACGGAGGGUGCAAGCGUUAAUCGGAAUUACUGGGCGUAAAGCGCACGCAGGCGGUUGAUUGAGUCAGAUGUGAAAUCCCCGGGCUUAACCCGGGAAUUGCAUCUGAUACUGGUCAGCUAGAGUCUUGUAGAGGGGGGUAGAAUUCCAUGUGUAGCGGUGAAAUGCGUAGAGAUGUGGAGGAAUACCGGUGGCGAAGGCGGCCCCCUGGACAAAGACUGACGCUCAGGUGCGAAAGCGUGGGGAGCAAACAGG
rnacentral:rRNA from 1 species